CUUUAGGGCAGAAAAAAGAAACAAAAGCUUGGUCAGGACGUCAGGAAUAAGCUGCUUCUGAGAGAGGGUGAUGUCUUCACCACAGCAGAUCCCCCAGGAGAAGUCAUCCUUGUCCAGCGGACACGCGGAGGCGCUGUGCUCAUGCUGGGAUGCAGACCAAACCCCACCGCCUCCAGGAGGAACCAUUCCUGUCCCCGGGCCAGCUGGCAGGAGCCAGGAGAUGAGGUUCUCCAGGGUGAAAUCCAGAGGGGUCUCACAGAGGAGCCCCUAAACCGAUGAAGGUCACCAAAGCACACCCAGAGAAUGUUUCCAUGGCCUAAGAAGAAUGUGCCUUCCGAGUCCCCGGCUAAGGAAUCCAGGAGUGGCCAACCCAGAGAUUCACCUCUUACCCAUGAGGAACAGGCCCUGGCCCAUCCCUUGGAAUGCAGGCCCUGCGGGGGUCAAGGCCCUCUGUUCUGGGUUGGGAGGAGGUUGCUAGGGGGAGGGUGCGGAGGGAAAAAGCUACAUAAACUGCAGGCUUCUUACAAACUGGAGCGGCUCCCCUGUCCAGCCCACUGCCAGCAGACUGUCCCUGCAUGUAACUUCCUCCAAUAAACCCUGUGUCUCAUUCGCUGUUUCUAGGUCUCUUCUGUGGCCUCUUGGGCACGGUGCCAUCCCUUCUGGAGUCAACAGGGGUCUGGCACAGCAACUGGGAAAAGCCUCUGUCCACUCCAGAGGAGAUUAACGGGAUAGCAGAGGGGCCUUGUGGAGGCAGUCUGUCCUCCUCUUCUCUCUCCAGAGUGGCCAGGCCAAUCUCUUAACAGCAAUGCCAGGAAGCCUGGGCUCCCAUCCUCACCUGGAACCAGCUAC
rnacentral:lncRNA from 1 species